rnacentral:rRNA from 1 species
AGUUCGAUCAUGGCUCAGAUUGAACGCUGGCGGAUGCUUCUGCAUACCAAGUCGAACGGCACGGCACGGACUUCGGUCUGGUGGCGAGUGGCGAACGGGUGAGUAAUGUAUCAGACGUGCCUAAUGGCCAGGGAUAACUGCGCAGCGUAGCUAAGCGCUACUACAUCGCCCUUCGGGAAAGCAGAGGACCUUCACGGGCUGCCUCGCACUAUUGACAGCCCGAUAUCGGAUUAGCUAGUUGGUGGAGAUGGCUCACCAAGGCGACGAUCUCGUAGCUGAAGUGGUUUGGGGGACAACCAGCCACUGGGACUGAGACACGGCCCGAACUCGGGAGGCAGUGGGGAAUUUUGGACCAAUGGGGAAACCUGAUCCAGCCAGCCAUCCCGCGUGUGCGAUAGAAGGCCUUCGGGUUGUAAGCACUUUGGCGGGGAAAGAAGCAGCAGGAUAAUACCCCCGUGCAACUGACGACAUACCUGCAGAAUAAGCACCGGCCAACUACGUGCCGCUUGUACGCGAGCAUGCAGCAGAGAUUUUGCACCGGCGUUAAUCAGAUUACUGGGCGAUAAAGUGUUUCAGGCGGUUCGGAAAGAAAGAUGGCGAAAUCCCCAGGCUUAACUUUGCCGGAACUGCAUUUUUAACUACCGAGAGCUAGAGUGUGUCAGAGGAGUGGAAUUCCGCGUGUGGUGAAAUGCGUAGAUAUGCGGAGGAACACCGAUGGCGAAGGCGAGAAAACUAUCCUGGGAUGCUACUGACGCUCAUGCACGCGAAAGCGUGGGGGAGCAAAACCGGGAUUAGAAUACCCUGACGAAGUCCGCCUAAACGAUCAUCAACUAGCUGUUGGGGCCUUCGGGCGCCGAAGUGGCGCAGCUAACGCGUGAAGUUGACCGCCUGAAGUACGGUCGCAGAUUAAAACUCAAGAAGGAAUUGACGGGGACCCGCUAGGCAGUGGAUGAUGUGGAUUAAUUCGAUGCAACGCGAAAAACCUUACCUACCCUUGACAUGUCUGGAAUCCCGAAGAGAUUUGGGAGUGCUCCGCCUAAGAGAACCGGAACACAGGUGCUGCAUGGCUGUCGUCAGCUCGUGUCGUGAGAUGUUGGGUUAAGUCCCGCAACGGCGCAACCCUUGUCAUUAGUUGCUGAGGCACUCCUAAUGAGACUGCCGGUGACAAACCGGAGGAAGGUGGGGAUGACGUCAAGUCCUCAUGGCCCUUGGGUAGGGCUUCACGUCAUACAAUGGUCGGGACAGAGGGUCAUCAACCCGCGAGAAGGAGCCAAUCCCGAAAACCCCGAUCACGUAGUCCGGAUCGCAGUCUGCAACUCGACUGCGCGUGAAGUCGAAGAUCGCUGUGCCGGAUCAGCGUAAUGGCACGGUGAAUACGUUCCACGGGUCUUGUACACCGCCCGUCACACCAUAGGGAGUGGGUUUACCAAGUAGUUAGCUAACCGUAAGGGCGAUUACCACGGUAGGAUUCAUGACUGGGGUGAAGUCGUAACAAGGUAGCCCUGUUACUACAAUCUGCUCGG